CAGAACCCUUUGUGAACUUAUACCUUACUGUUGCCUCGGCGCUAGCUGGUCCUUCGGGGCCCCUCACCCCCGGGUGUUGAGACAGCCCGCCGGCGGCCAACCCAACUCUUGUUUUUACACUGAAACUCUGAGAAUAAAACAUAAAUGAAUCAAAACUUUCAACAACGGAUCUCUUGGUUCUGGCAUCGAUGAAGAACGCAGCGAAAUGCGAUAAGUAAUGUGAAUUGCAGAAUUCAGUGAAUCAUCGAAUCUUUGAACGCACAUUGCGCCCUCUGGUAUUCCGGAGGGCAUGCCUGUUCGAGCGUCAUUUCAACCCUCAAGCCUGGCUUGGUGAUGGGGCACUGCUUCUUACCCAAGGAGCAGGCCCUGAAAUUCAGUGGCGAGCUCGCCAGGACCCCGAGCGCAGUAGUUAAACCCUCGCUCUGGAAGGCCCUGGCGGUGCCCUGCCGUUAAACCCCCAACUUCUGAAAAUU
rnacentral:rRNA from 1 species